rnacentral:rRNA from 1 species
UCUCCUGGGAAACGGGUGGUAAUGCCGGAUGUUCCACAUGAUCGCAUGUGAUUGUGGGAAAGAUUCUAUCGGCGUGGGAUGGGGUCGCGUCCUAUCAGCUUGUUGGUGAGGUAACGGCUCACCAAGGCUUCGACGGGUAGCCGGCCUGAGAGGGCGACCGGCCACAUUGGGACUGAGAUACGGCCCAGACUCCUACGGGAGGCAGCAGUGGGGAAUAUUGCACAAUGGGCGCAAGCCUGAUGCAGCGACGCCGCGUGAGGGAUGGAGGCCUUCGGGUUGUAAACCUCUUUUGUUUGGGAGCAAGCCUUCGGGUGAGUGUACCUUUCGAAUAAGCGCCGGCUAACUACGUGCCAGCAGCCGCGGUAAUACGUAGGGCGCAAGCGUUAUCCGGAUUUAUUGGGCGUAAAGGGCUCGUAGGCGGCUCGUCGCGUCCGGUGUGAAAGUCCAUCGCUUAACGGUGGAUCUGCGCCGGGUACGGGCGGGCUGGAGUGCGGUAGGGGAGACUGGAAUUCCCGGUGUAACGGUGGAAUGUGUAGAUAUCGGGAAGAACACCA